rnacentral:rRNA from 1 species
CAGUCGCCGCGGGAAUACGAAGGGUGCAAGCGUUACUCGGAAUUACUGGGCGUAAAGCGUGCGUAGGUGGUGGUUUAAGUCCGAUGUGAAAGCCCUGGGCUCAACCUGGGAAUUGCAGUGGAUACUGGGUCACUAGAGUGUGGUAGAGGAUAGUGGAAUUUCCGGUGUAGCAGUGAAAUGCGUAGAGAUCGGAAGGAACAUCUGUGGCGAAGGCGACUAUCUGGGCCAACACUGACACUGAGGCACGAAAGCGUGGGGAGCAAACAGGAUUAGAGACCCGCGUAGUCCCUGUCUCUUAUAC